rnacentral:rRNA from 1 species
AUUGAACGUUGGCGGCAGGCCUAAAACAUGCAAGUCGAACGGUAACAGCGGAAGCUUGCUUCCGGCUGACGAGUGGCGGACGGGUGAGUAACACGUAGGAAUCUACCUAGUAGUGGGGGACGAACCCGGGAAACCCGGGCGUAAUACCGCAUACGCUCUACGGAGGAAAGACGGGGAGUCUUCGGACCUCGCGCUAUUGGAGGAGCCUGCGUCGGAUUAGCUAGUUGGUGGGGUAAAGGCCUACCAAGGCGACGACCGUAGCUGGUCUGAGAGGACGAUCAGCCACACUGGAACUGAGACACGGUCCAGACUCCUACGGGAGGCAGCAGUUAGGAAUCUUGGGC